rnacentral:rRNA from 1 species
CGUAGGCGGCUUUGCAAGUCAGAUGUGAAAGCCCCGGGCUUAACUCGGGAAUUGCAUCUGAAACUGCUUUGCUUGAGUCCUGGAGGGGGUAGUGGAAUUCCCAGUGUAGCGGUGAAAUGCGUAGAUAUUGGGAGGAACACCUGCGGCGAAGGCGGCUACCUGGACAGUGACUGACGCUGAUGCGCGAAAGCUAGGGGAGCAAACGGGAUUAGAUACCCCGGUAGUCCUAGCCGUAAACGAUGGGCACUUGGUGUCGGGGGUAUUGAGUCCCCCGGUGCCGGAGUUAACACGUUAAGUGCCCCGCCUGGGGAGUACGGUCGCAAGACUGAA